GAUGAACGCUGGCGGCGUGCCUAAUACAUGCAAGUCGAGCGAACGGACGAGAAGCUUGCUUCUCUGAUGUUAGCGGCGGACGGGUGAGUAACACGUGGAUAACCUACCUAUAAGACUGGGAUAACUUCGGGAAACCGGAGAUAAUACCGGAUAAUAUUUUGAACCGCAUGGUUCAAAAGUGAAAGACGGUCUUGCUGUCACUUAUAGAUGGAUCCGCGCUGCAUUAGCUAGUUGGUAAGGUCACGGCUUACCAAGGCAACGAUGCAUAGCCGACCUGAGGGGGUGAUCGGCCACCCGGGAGCUGGAACACGGUCCAGACGCCUACGGGAGGCAGCAGUAGGGAACCGUCCGCAAUGGGCGAAAGCCUGACGGAGCAACGCCGCGUGAGUGAUGAAGGUCUUCGGAUCGUAAAACUCUGUUAUUAGGUAAGAACAGAUGUGUAAGUAACUGUGCACAUCUUGACGGUACCUAAUCAGAAAGCCACGGCUAACUACGUG
rnacentral:rRNA from 1 species